CUCUCUGUGGUGCAAUAGGUUAGCGCAUUUGGCUGUUAACUAAAAGAUUGGUGGUUCAAGCCCACCCAGGGACG
rfam:Danio rerio chromosome 4, GRCz11 reference primary assembly.